rnacentral:lncRNA from 1 species
UUGGAAGGAAUAGAGUACAAUGGUGGAGACUGUUAUUGUGUGGUAAAACACUACUCUCGGAAUAUUAGAGAAGUUUCAUUUACCUAAAUGUCUAUUCUUAAAUGGAAUAACAACCACAUUGGACUAAAUUAAGUACAGGUACAGCAGCAACCAGGCCCAGAGGUUCAGGAAGAUAGGGGAGUCGAAGCUUUAGUUUUGUGGAUUACAGUUUUGAGUUCUGUAAUGGCAUUUUUAAGCUGCC